GGGAUUUGUGGCCUCUCUUGCAAGUGAGCAGCAUGAUGGCAUGGAGGAGGAGGGACUGGGAGGAUGGCAGUGGAACCUAAGGAUGUGGAAGUGAAUCCCAGAUACCUUAUGGAUCUACACGUUUUAAAGAGCAGAAAUGUCCGAGUCCAGAUGCCUCACACACAUUAAUUCUACCUUUGAGCGAAACAGUUUAGUCCAUGCCCUGGGGAAGGAAACACAACGCAUUGAUGCAGCAGGAUACUCCAUUGGUGGAGUUGUUCCAGGAGGAGAGAAAGAGCAGAUUUUAGCAAAUUUUCAAAGGACCUUGUGCUAAUUCUGCCUCCCAAGGCCUCACAGGAAGCUCCAUCUUGUGUCUGCUGGACCUCUAUGUGCAAAGAACUGAGAUCACAAAGUUCAACUCUAUAUUAGUUUCAGAAGUGUAAUGCUUAGCAUAAAAGACAGGAAUCAAUGAAGUAUAGCUGUGGUUUUGCACUAUGGUUUAUGUAGAAUCUUACCUGGGAUUAAAUUGCAGAAAUACGAAUAAAUAGAUAUUUGAA